UCAUAGCUUAUUCGUGACUACAGUCUAAACGGACAUCUCUUUCUAGAAUCAUCUAAAUAUGGGAAGUUUGGCACUUGAUACUGAGAGUGUAGACCCAGAUAUAUACCAGACAUUGGGACUGAAAGAAUUGGGCAGAGGAGUUCUGGGAAGUCCAAAGAUUUUAUCACUUGUUGCCAGAGUUUUGGAGAGAUCUGUUCAGAAAAAUGAAUUGCUACUGGAGACAAUGCAGAUUGAAGAUAACAUAACGGUAUUUCAUGGGUUAAGAGCACCGACCAUAACUAUUCAACAAUAUAUUGAUCGCAUCUUCAAGUAUGCUAGCUGUAGCCCCUCCUGCUUUGUCAUUGCACAAAUUUAUGUGGAUAAAUUCCUUCAGCAAACUGAAGUUCAUUUAACUUCUCUUAAUGUUCACCGGCUUCUUAUAACAAGUGUAAUGGUAGCUGCAAAAUUUAUUGAUGAUGCAUUUUACAAUAACGCAUACUACGCCAGAGUGGGAGGAGUAAGCACAUCAGAAUUGAACAGGAUGGAAAUGAAGUUUUUGUUUAGUCUAGAUUUCAGACUUCAAGUGAAUGUGAAGACAUUCCAAAGGUUUUGUUCACAGUUGGAAAAAGAAGCUGCAGAAGGUCUCCAAAUUGAACGGCCAAUUCAAGCCUGUAAAGUUAAGGAGAACUGGUCAAAUAAAGGCAAUUCAGCAUGUGUUCCCACGAGUGCAAGAUGAAAAUAGCAAAUCAUAUCAAUGUAUCAUUACAAUCCCUACAUUUGGCUUGAGCAUUUUCAAGUUCUGGAUGUUGUUGAUUAUCGUCUAUGCCAUAGUUGUUUUUAGUGAAUGAUCAUUGCAGAGGCAGCAUGUUCACUUUCUCUGCAUGAUUUUUUUGUGGCAGCUGUUGAUGAUAUGGAAAGAGUAAUUAUAUCCAUUAAAAUUCGAAAGAAAUUGUGGGCACAUAUCAGUUUGAAGAGCACAGCUACCAUCAGUGCCCCGUGUUUGCCUGUGUUUUACCUGGAACGUCAGACAUGCAGAUUCUUGUGGCUGCUUCGGAACUACAAAAACAAUUACUGUAGUUAUGGAGAGAAUAGAGAGAAUCAUAACAAGGCACAACAAAGUAAAAGAAAUAUGAUAAUAGCGAAAGACAAGGGGUUCAAGGCGUCAAGCAAGAAGAGUCUUGAGUAGACCUCUGGUUUCUCAAUGUUUGAGUUGGCAAUCUUUGUCACAUCUCUGUGGCCCAGCGGAUGAGCUUAGAAUCCUGUUUAUUAGGCUUGAAUUUUCAUAACUAAAUAGAUGGGUUAUGAGCUUAGGAUCCAGUUUAUUAGGUUUGAAUUUUCAUAACUAAAUAAAUGAAUUUUGCAGGAAGAAUGCUUGUUUGAAGUCUAAAAGCAAAACUUGUGCGAGCUACUGCAAAGCGGACAAUAUCUAUUUGGUUAAACCGGAAUUUGAUAAUUAGUGUCAAAGCAGUAUUUCACGAGGAUGUGAGACUUUAGAAGAUGAGGAGUUUGUCACAUCAUACUUGCGGAAACGCAAAAACAAACUCAUGAGAGUCUGGACACAAAGUGCACAACAUUUACUUAGUCGGACCGGGGAUUUGACAGUACUAGUCUACUGAAAUAUUGUUGCCAUUACAAUCAUGAU